AUUUUUUUGGGGGUGUUGUAAUUAGGUAUAUGUAUCUCAACAUAAUAUAACGAUAUGCUUUGCUCAGUUUUGUUCCCCUGUACCUCCCCUUUGAUCUUCCCUUCUAUAGCAUUGGAAAUGUGUGGGGCAUUUUGUGUGUAUUAUGUAUAUACACAUACUUGUUAGGCAGGCUGAAUACCCCUUACCCCUUAUUCCAAAUGCUUUGGCCCAGAAGUGUUUUGGAUUGUUUUUUAGAGUUUAGAAUAUUUUCAUAUGCAUAAUAAAGUAUUUUGGGAAUCCAAGGUAAAAUAUGGAAUACAUUUAUGUUUUUUAUAUAUCUUAUACAUAUAACCUGAAAAUAAUUUUGUAUAAUAUUUUAAAUACUUUGUGUAUGAAACAAAGUUUCAUAGUGUGGAAUCUUCCACUUGUGGCAUCAUGUGUAUUCAGGAUGUUUUUGAUUUUUGGAGCAGUCAGAUUUCAGAUUUUUACAUUAGGGAUGCUCAACCCAUUCCUACAUAUUUACAUAUUUAUAAUUUAAUGACUCAGAAACUCAGAUACAUUUGUAUCUGUAGAAUUGAGGAAUAAAACAUCAGUUAUUUGAAAUUUAUUGACAAGAAGCUAGUUAUGAUAUCCUUACCAAAAAUAGUAUUUUGACGUUCUAUGAUUUACUGUUAAAAAUUAGUCAAUAUUCCUU
rnacentral:lncRNA from 1 species